rnacentral:tRNA from 1 species
GCCGGUGUGGCUCAGUGGUUGAGCAUCGGUCUAUGAACCAGGAAGUCAGGGUUCAAAUCCCGGUCAGGGCA